rnacentral:rRNA from 1 species
AUGAUGCACGGACCAUGUGGAGAGGCAAAUCCAAAGUCACCCUGCAUGGAAAAACAUAUGUGCAGUAACUACUUUCCAAAAGAAUUCUGUGAUGAGACGGUCAUUGAUGAAGACAACUACCCAAGGUACAGGAGACGAGAUAAUGGCCGCCAAAUAGACAAGGGAGGAGUCAAGUUGAACAAUGGAUUUGUUGUACCAUACAACAAAGAUCUCCUGGUAAAAUUCCAAGCACACAUAAAUGUGGAGUUGUGUCAUCGAUAUAUGUCAAUCAAAUAUCUCUUUAAGGAUCCGUGA